rnacentral:rRNA from 1 species
CAGCAGCCACGGUAAAACGGAUGGGGCUAGCGUUGUUCGGAAUUACUGGGCGUAAAGCGCACGUAGGCGGCUUUGUAAGUUAGAGGUGAAAGCCCGGAGCUCAACUCCGGAAUUGCCUUUAAGACUGCAGAGCUAGCAGGUGAGAGAGGUGAGUGGAAUUCCGAGUGUAGAGGUGAAAUUCGUAGAUAUUCGGAAGAACACCAGUGGCGAAGGCGGCUCACUGGCUCAUACUGGACGCUGAGGUGCGAAAGCGUGGGGAGCAAACAGGAUUAGAUACCCGCGUAGUCCCUGUCUCUUAUAC